rnacentral:sRNA from 1 species
CACCGAGUCCGAGGCUCCGGGACGACCGGAGCCGGGUGCAAAAGGGA